UGCGUAGGCGGUUAGAUAAGUCAGAGGUGAAAGCCCGCAGCUCAACUGUGGAAUUGCCUUUGAUACUGUUUGACUUGAAUCAAGUUGAGGUUGGCGGAAUGUGACAUGUAGCGGUGAAAUGCAUAGAUAUGUCAUAGAACACCAAUUGCGAAGGCAGCUAACUAGACUUGUAUUAACGCUGAGGCACGAAAGCGUGGGGAGCGAACAGGAUUAGAUACCCUGGUAGUCC
rnacentral:rRNA from 1 species